AUCCUUCUCAGCUCAGCCAUGGUGCAAAUCGGCAUUACUAUUUUCAUCCAAUCGACGCCUAUCUAUUUAAAAUUUAAAUCGGCAUUACUAUUUUACCAAAUACCACCAACUAGUCAAUUCUUACACUAACUAACUACACCAUGGCUAGUAUAGUAGAAGUUUGGUAGUAUAAGAGGUGACCCUUGUGGAUCAUGAGUCAUGACUAAUGGGGUUCUAUGCUAGCCAAGGCUAAAAUGAAAUGAGUCAGUCAGACUUGCCUAUUUCCCUAAUCAUUUUUACUGUCGUUCUCAUGUCAAAAUACCAAGUUGCAAACAGAAUAAUCUCUGCUGUUUGUUUUUUUUCAUGAACGAAUAUCAUGCAUCAUUUGCUUCUUUUCUGUUUGAGGGAUGCUAGCAAUUUUCCUAGUCAUUUUUAACCAUAGGUCCAGAUGCCAAAGUAAAAAUGCAGGAUUAUUCUACCAUCCCUGAGCGUUUAAUAUCGAGAAAACAUGAUGAUUGUAUGGAGGUGUUGUUCACAGGAUCUAAAUGAAAGAAUGCUACACAUAUGUAUAGGGGUUUUAAUGAAGAAAAGAGGUUUAUCAAAUAAGAUAUGAAGAAUCUAAAGUGAUGAAGAGAAGAAAUCAAAUAGGUUAUGAAGAAUCUAAAGAUAUGAGGAGAAGAAGUCUUGAUGAAACAAGAAGAGAACAAGGUUAUGAACAAGAAUUAAGGAAAAAAAAAGAUGAUUCAAAAUGUGCAGCUUGUGAGUGUUGUCGCCUGUAGAAUUAGAUUCAGGUCAUUAAGUUGAGAUGCGAGCUGAUUUCGAAUAUACUCUAUUGAUUAGUCAUGACUAGUACUAGUGAAACUACUAAAGUUGGAACUUUUUCUUUAAGUGUUGUAAUUCUGUCCUGCACAUCAUAUGAACUUUGACAUAGCAGCAUUUAAGUUGGGUAUAAAUGGAUCCAGCCAUUUCAUAAUAAUCCCUUGGAAUACAAGUAUAGGCUUGGUAAAGUUACUCACUGAGUGUAAUUUCUUUCUCUCCUGUACUGUGGUUCAAUGGAAUUGUAACUCACAGUCAGUUGUAUAGUUGAUAUGAUACAAUCCUGAAUCAUUUUUCAAGUGUUUUUGCUUUUUUCUAUGCUACUUGUGCGGACAUAUGUGUUUGUAACUGUUUCUGUGGUUUUGUAUGUUUUUCUCAGGUCUUGGAGGCCCUGGUGCUCAACAGGGUCCUCCUGCCCAACAGGGUGGUCGUGCUGGUGGUGCUCAACCAGGUCCUCCUGCCCAACAGGGUGGUCAUGUCAGACGUCGUUAGUGUCUGCCAAGCUGACUUCUCUCUUGGGCGGAUGUCGUGAUAGUUUUACUUCGAUAGUGACCAUAUAGUUUGUUUUAGCAUUUCCAUUUUCUUUGGUAGAAAAUGCUUUUGGCUCUCUUACUUGGAGAAGAGUAACUGCUACGAUUUUGUGGAUUUCAUUGCUGGGAGCUUUUCAGUAAGCUACAUGGAUCUUGGAAGUAAUUAGUAGAGCUGCUACUUUUAUUAUCGAGUUAUCGAACUCAUUUUGUUACUACAUGGUUUUAGCGGAAAGAAGCUGUAAAUAGUUCUUAGGUAAAUUUUACAGUUCUUACUCGAUUUAUUGGUAGUAAGUAGUAAAUUUUACAAAUCUUGCUCGAUUUAUUCGGAGUAAGUAGUAACGCUCCUAUUAUUUUUAUUUAUUGGGAACAUAUAGUAACCCUCCUCGUAUAUCUAAAUUCUUAAUGACACGAGAUUUU